rnacentral:ncRNA from 2 species
CAUCUAUCCAGAGCGGCCGAGAGACCUGGCUCGUCGACGCCGCAGCAACCAUCCGCAGCCCCACGGGGCCGCGGAACGGUGCUCCCGCCAGGACCGAUGGAGC